ensembl:snRNA
GUGCUUACCCAGCCAAACUUUCAAUUACCAUAGAUGGAGAAACCAAAGUAUUCCAUGACAAAACCAAAUUCACACAUAUCUUUCCACGAAUCCAGCCCUUCAAAGGAUA